rnacentral:rRNA from 1 species
UACGUAGGGGGCAAGCGUUGUCCGGAAUCAUUGGGCGUAAAGCGUGCGUAGACGGUCAUGUAAGUCGGGUGUGAAAGCCCCGGGCUCAACCUGGGAAUUGCAUUCGAGACUGCAUGGCUAGGAUGCGGAAGAGGGAAGCGGAAUUUCCGGUGUAGCGGUGAAAUGCGUAGAUAUCGGAAGGAACACCAGUGGCGAAAGCGGCUUCCUGGUCCAGCAUCGACGUUCAGGCACGAAAGCGUGGGGAGCAAACAGG